rnacentral:rRNA from 1 species
UACGGGGGGGGCAGGCGUUGUUCGGAAUUACUGGGCGUAAAGGGCUCGUAGGCGGCCAACUAAGUCAGACGUGAAAUCCCUCGGCUUAACCGGGGAACUGCGUCUGAUACUGGAUGGCUUGAGUUUGGGAGAGGGAUGCGGAAUUCCAGGUGUAGCGGUGAAAUGCGUAGAUAUCGGGAGGAACACCUGUGGCGAAAGCGGCGCACUGGACCACAACUGACGCUGAGGCGCGAAAGCUAGGGGAGCAAACAGG